rnacentral:tRNA from 1 species
UUUAAUGGAGCUGUAAUAGCAUUUUAUUGUUAAUGAAAUGAAAGAUAGGAAGCUUUAAAU